rnacentral:rRNA from 1 species
UCGGUGUCAGUAUCAGUCCAGGUGGCCGCCUUCGCCACUGAUGUUCCUUCCUAUAUCUACGCAUUUCACCGCUACACAGGAAAUUCCACCACCCUCUACUAUACUCUAGCCAGACAGUUCUAAAUGCAGUUCCCAGGUUGAGCCCAGGGCUUUCACAUCUAGCUUAUCAAACCACCUACGCGCGCUUUACGCCCAGUAAUUCCGAUUAACGCUCGCACCCUCCGU